GGUUAACCCAUUUUUUAAUAAACAUAGCAGUUUCAGAGAAACUGCUAUGUUUAUUAAUGGGUUAAGCCUUCCCCCUAAUCCUCUAGUGGCUGUCUCAUUGACAGCCACUAGAGGCGCUUGCGUGCUUCUCACUGUGAUUUUCACAGUGAGAGCACGCCAGCAUCCAUAGGAAAGCAUUAUGAAUGCUUUCCUAUGCGACCGGCUGAAUGCGCGCGCAGCUCUUGCCGCGCGUGCGCAUUCAGCC